rnacentral:rRNA from 2 species
UACGUAGGGUGCAAGCGUUAAUCGGAAUUACUGGGCGUAAAGCGUGCGCAGGCGGUUCUAUAAGACAGGUGUGAAAUCCCCGGGCUUAACCUGGGAAUUGCAUUUGUGACUGUAGGACUAGAGUGUGUCAGAGGGGGGUGGAAUUCCACGUGUAGCAGUGAAAUGCGUAGAUAUGUGGAGGAACACCAAUGGCGAAGGCAGCCCCCUGGGAUAACACUGACGCUCAUGCACGAAAGCGUGGGGAGCAAACAGG